CGCGAAACUUUCUACUGCGGGACUUGCUAACUGUGCGAGUUCCUAUUGACAAUGUUUCGCAGAUGAACACGUAUAUAUUUUCACGGUGUGCGCGUCUUCCUAGUGAUCCACAUCGUCAAUUUUAUACAACAAUCUA
ensembl:snoRNA snoRNA:hts-a